rnacentral:rRNA from 1 species
ACUCAAAGGAAUUGACGGGGGCCCGCACAAGCGGUGGAGCAUGUGGUUCAAUUCGAUGCAACGCGAAGAACCUUACCGGGGCUUGACAUGCAGUUGACCGGCAUGGAAACAUGCCUUUCCUUCGGGACGAUUGCACAGGUGCUGCAUGGCUGUCGUCAGCUCGUGUCGUGAGAUGUUGGGUUAAGUCCCGCAACGAGCGCAACCCUCGCCCUUUGUUGCCAUCAAGUUAUGUUGGGCACUCGAAGGGGACUGCCGGUGAUAAGCCGGAGGAAGGUGGGGAUGACGUCAAGUCCUCAUGGCCCUUAUGUCCCGGGCUACACACGUGCUACAAUGGUCGGUACAGAGGGUUGCAAGACCGCGAGGUGGAGCCAAUCCCAGAAAGCCGGCCUCAGUUCGGAUUGUAGUCUGCAACUCGACUACAUGAAGUCGGAAUCGCUAGUAAUCGCGGAUCAGCAGGCCGCGGUGAAUACGUUCCCGGGCCUUGUACACACCGCCCGU